AAAUCUCUCGAUAAAAAUCGAGAGUUCUUUUACGGUUUGGGUGUAAAGUUUCCAGAACUUGAUAUAUCAGAACUGUGGCCAUUUAUCGAUGAAUUCAAUGAAGCAUUUGCCCCUUUGCACGCUGCAAGCGUACGUGCACAAUACCUUGAUUGCCCUAUCAGCCAAUUCCAUAUUGAAUGGCUGAAAGCAUAUGGACAAGUAAAGCGCCUCAAAGAAUGCCGUUUCAAAGACAAGAUUUUGGAAUCUAUGGAAACUCGCCAGCAAACCUUAAUGGCCAAUAAUGCGUACAAAGCUGCAUUGUUUUUGGAUCCACGACUAAACUUCAGCGGAUCUGAAUUGUUUUCUGCUGAUCAGAAAGCUGAAAUUAUCGAAUUCCUUGUGAAGUUGUGGAACAAAAUUGAACUUCAUGAAAACGGCUUGACUAAUACAACAACAUCAGCUUUGGAUCAAACUGAUGAAGCAACCCAGGACGACACUUUCAAUAUGGAUGAUUUCAUCACGCAAACCUUAGGACAUGGAAAUGAGAACCAUCGUGAAGAUUGCACUAUGGAGCAACAAAUUGCCGCUCUACAGUAUCAGAAGCGAGUGCCCGCCACAGGUUCAUCGUUCAAUGUCGUCAAUUAUUGGUAUUGCAAGCGGUUGGAGGACGAGCGACUUUGGAGAAUCGCACGGGUAGUGUUUGCGGCUGCUUCUACACAAGCUUCGAAUGAACGUGAUUUUUCACAUUUUAAUAAUGUGUAUACAGCGUUGCGUAACAGGCUGAGCGGAAAUAGUACCGACACUAUACUGA